rnacentral:rRNA from 1 species
UACGGAGGGGGCAAGCGUUGUUCGGAAUUACUGGGCGUAAAGGGUUUGUAGGUGGCUUGUUAAGUCAGACGUGAAAUCCCUCGGCUUAACUGGGGAACUGCGUCUGAUACUGGUGAGCUUGAGUGCAGGAGAGGAACGCGGAAUUCCAGGUGUAGCGGUGAAAUGCGUAGAUAUCUGGAGGAACACCGGUGGCGAAGGCGGCGUUCUGGACUGCAACUGACACUGAAAAACGAAAGCCAGGGGAGCAAACGGG